rnacentral:rRNA from 1 species
UUCUGGCUCAGGAUGAACGCUGGCGGCGUGCUUAAUACAUGCAAGUCGAACGGAGAGCUAGCAAUAGUUCUUAGUGGCGAACGGGUGAGUAACGCGUUGGUGACCUGCCCCGAAGAGGGGGAUAACAGUUCGAAAGGACUGCUAAUACCCCAUGUGGUUAUCGAGGUUAGAGGCUUGAUAACUGAAGGAGAAAUCCGCUUUGGGAGGGGCCUGCGUCCCAUCAGCUAGUUGGUAAGGUAAAGGCUUACCAAGGCGAAGACGGGUAGGGGACCUGAGAGGGUGAUCCCCCACACUGGCACUGAAACACGGGCCAGACACCUACGGGUGGCAGCAGUAGGGAAUAUUGCACAAUGGGCGAAAGCCUGAUGCCAGCAACGCCGCGUGCGCGAUGAAGGCCUUCGGGUUGUAAAGCGCUUUUCGGGGAGAUGAGGAAGGACAGUAUCCCCGGAAUAAGGCUCGGCUAACUACGUGCCAGCAGCGGC